UCCCGAUUAGCUCGGGCAGUGUCGUAUGAAAAGUACAACAUACGACAGGGGUUGCGCUCGUUGCGGGACUUAACCCAACAUCUCACGACACGAGCUGACGACGGCCAUGCAACACCUGUCACUGGGCUCCCGAAGGCACUCCCCUGUUUCCAAGGGAUUCCCAGGAUGUCAAGCCUCGGUAAGGUUCUACGCGUAGCUUCGUAUUAAACCACAUCAUCCACCGCUUGUGCGGGCCCCCGCCAAUUCCUUUGAGUUUUAAACUUGCGUUCGUACUCCCCAGGCGGGAUGCUUAACGCGUUAGCUUCUCAACGCAGAGGGUCGAUACUCUACAUUAAUAGCAUCCAUCGUUUACGGCGUGGACUAC
rnacentral:misc_RNA from 1 species